GUCUGCGUAGCUCAGCAGGAUAGAGCGUUCGCCUCCUAAGCGAAAGGUCGGAAGUUCGAAUCUUCUCGUGGACG
rnacentral:tRNA from 1 species